rnacentral:rRNA from 1 species
GACGAACGCUGGCGGCGUGCUUAACACAUGCAAGUCGAACGGAAAGGCCUUUUCGGAGGUACUCGAGUGGCGAACGGGUGAGUAACACGUGGGUGAUCUGCCCUGCACUCUGGGAUAAGCCUGGGAAACUGGGUCUAAUACCGGAUAGGACCGCACUUUAGUGUGUGUGGUGGAAAGUUGUUUCGGUGUAGGAUGAGCCCGCGGCCUAUCAGCUUGUUGGUGGGGUAAUGGCCUACCAAGGCGGCGACGGGUAGCCGGACUGAGAGGUUGGUCGGCCACAUUGGGACUGAGAUACGGCCCAGACUCCUACGGGAGGCAGCAGGGGGGAAUAUUGCACAAUGGGCGCAAGCCUGAUGCAGCGACGCCGCGUGGGGGAUGACGGCCUUCGGGUUGUAAACUCCUUUCGCCAGGGACGAAGCGUUUUGUGACGGUACCUGGAGAAGAAGCACCGGCUAACUACGUG